CUCUCUCUCUCUCUCUCUCUCUCUCUCUCUCUCUCAGGUCUCUGCGGCAACCCCUCCAUCAUUCCAACCUCCACACUGCGCCAGCGCUCCACACCAGCUCCAUCACAAACAAUGCCCAGACUAAAAAAGAUGGAGUUUUGCUCUUGUUGCCCAGGCUGGAGGCUAAAAAUGCAGCUGCAUGGUUUGGUUUGGCUCUUGUAAUCCUGUCCUCUGUCAUAUAAAGAGCAUGUCACAAUCGCUGCGGGUCCCAGAAUGAGGAGACUUGUGGAGUGAACUUGAGUCCCACUCACAGCCUGGAGCCAAGCCCAGCUGAUUCUAGUUGAAGCCAGAGAGCAGCAGCUGAACCUGUAACCUAUAAGCAGCAACUCAAAGCUUGUUCUAAGUCCUUUUGUUUUGAGCUUGUUAUGCUGGAGAAGCAUGACUAAUGGUCUUUUAAAAAUAAAUACUCAGAUCUUUAGGUUUUUGUACCUGUCCCAUUUUCAGAGGGCAUCCGGAUGAACAAGGAGAGG